rnacentral:misc_RNA from 1 species
GCCAGGGUUUUUAUUUUAUACUUUAAACAUUGAUUUUAUUUUUUAUGUUUUUAGAUGUUCAUGUUUUUGAAUGUUUUAUUCGAAUAAUAUAAAAAAUAAAAUAUAUAUUGACAUGGAUUAAACAAAGAUAUAUAUUAUUCUAUGUUGUAUAAACAAAUUGGCAAAAUAGAGAUGGAAGAUAAAAAUAUGGUCAAAGUAAUAAGAGUCUAUGGUGAAUGCCUAGGAGCUUUAAGGCGAAGAAGGUCGUGGUAAGCUGCGAAAAGCUUGGGGGAGAAGCAAACAUUUAUUGAUCCCAAGAUUACCGAAUGGAGUAAUCCAGCUAGCAAGAUGCU